GAACGCUGGCGGCAUGCCUAACACAUGCAAGUCGAACGGCAGCGCGGGGAGCUUGCUCCCUGGCGGCGAGUGGCGGACGGGUGAGUAAUGCGUAGGGAUCUGCCUAGAGGAUUGGGAUAGCCUGGGGAAACCCAGGGUAAUACCAAAUGUGCCUUACUGGGAAAGCAUGGGACCUUCGGGCCAUGCGCCUUUAGAUGAACCUACGUUGGAUUAGCUUGUUGGUGGGGUAAAGGCCUACCAAGGCAUCGAUCCAUAGCUGGUCUGAGAGGAUGAUCAGCCACACUGGGACUGAGACACGGCCCAGACUCCUACGGGAGGCAGCAGUGGGGAAUAUUGGACAAUGGGCGCAAGCCUGAUCCAGCAAUGCCGCGUGUGUGAAGAAGGCCCUCGGGUUGUAAAGCACUUUCAGUAGGGAAGAAAAGCCGGGCGCUAAUAUCGCCCUGUGCUGACGUUACCUACAGAAGAAGCACCGGCUAACUCCGUG
rnacentral:rRNA from 1 species